AGAGUUUGAUCAUGGCUCAGAUUGAACGCUGGCGGCAUGCCUUACACAUGCAAGUCGAACGCGAAAGGGGGCAACCCCGAGUAGAGUGGCGAACGGGUGAGCAAUACAUCGGAACGUGUCCUGUAGCGGGGGACAACACAUCGAAAGAUGUGCUAAUACCGCAUACGAUCUACGGAUGAAAGUGGGGGACCGCAAGGCCCCACACUAUAGGAGCGGCCGAUGCCGGAUUAGCUUGUUGGCGGGGUAAAAGCCCACCAAGGCGACGAUCCGUAGCUGGUUUGAGAGAACGACCAGCCACACUGGGACUGAGACACGGCCCAGACUCCUACGGGAGGCAGCAGUGGGGAAUUUUGGACAAUGGGCGCAAGCCUGAUCCAGCCAUGCCGCGUGAGUGAAGAAGGCCUUCGGGUUGUAAAGCUCUUUCGGCCGGGACGAAAUGGCGCGGGGUAAUAUCCCGCGUCGAUGACGGUACCGGAAGAAGAAGGACCGGCUAACUACGUGCCAGCAGCCGCGGUAAUACGUAGGGUCCAAGCGUUAAUCGGAAUUACUGGGCGUAAAGCGUGUGCAGGCGGUUUCGAAAGUCCGAUGUGAAAUCCCCGGGCUUAACCUGGGAACUGCGUUGGAAACUACGAGGCUAGAGUGCGGCAGAGGGGGGUGGAAUUCCAGGUGUAGCAGUGAAAUGCGUAGAUAUCUGGAGGAACACCGAUGGCGAAGGCAGCCCCCUGGGUUAGCACUGACGCUCAUACACGAAAGCGUGGGGAGCAAACAGGAUUAGAUACCCUAGUAGUCC
rnacentral:rRNA from 1 species